GAUGAACGCUGACAGAAUGCUUAACACAUGCAAGUCAACUUGAACUUCGGUUUGGGUGGCGGACGGGUGAGUAACGCGUAAAGAACUUGCCUCACAGUUAGGGACAACAUUUGGAAACGAAUGCUAAUACCUGAUAUUAUGAUUUUAGGGCAUCCUAGAAUUAUGAAAGCUAUAUGCGCUGUGAGAGAGCUUUGCGUCCCCUUAGCUAGUUGGAGAGGUAACGGCACCCCAAGGCGAUGAUGGGUAGCCGGCCUGACCAGGGUGUACGGGCACGAGGGGACCGAGACACUCCUCUUUCUCCUACGGCAUUUUCUUCAACCC
rnacentral:rRNA from 1 species